CCAGUGAUAUCUAGAAAUAUGUAGUGACAAGCCAGCAAAACUGAAGAGAUGAAUCUUUAGGUGCAGUUACUGUGUGAUCUAAUUUUUCUAUCAUAAGUCUCGAUGAGAUCGAGGUUAACUUAUCAAACCUCAUCAUUAUCAUACGAUAGAAUCAUUCGAUUCGAGUCCAAUGUGAAAUUCAAUAGAAACAUUUUUCUAUCUUUCACAGUACAUGGCUAUAGGCUUAUGGACUCAAUCUCAUGAUCUAUAUAGGACUACUCUUCCAUCA
rnacentral:lncRNA from 1 species